AGUCCAAGAUGUUACCAUUAUGAAAAAUGCAGGAGAACUUGAAGACAAUGGUUAGUGCAGAAGGGACAUAAAAGUUAUGAUAAAAGUAACAGAUA
rnacentral:lncRNA from 1 species